CAUCCUCCCAAACUUCACAGCUGGGUUGGAGAGAAAAGCAGAAAACAGCACUUGUGGUUAUCAUUCGCGUUAACCACCUCAGUUUGCAGUGCUCUUUCAUUCUUUGCAGGCAUCCUGCCCAGGGUCAUGUGACUUACUGUGGACCAAUGGAAUAUUGACAAAUGUGACACAGCAGAGACUUGAAAAAGGCUCGUGUGAUUGUGCACCUCACCAUGACAAGGACAUGCCUGAGCUAUCUUGCUAGAGGAUAAGCUUGCUGGGGGAUAUGUGAAGCAGAGCCAGACCUCCUUGGUCAUCCCAGGCAAGGCCAUCUACAAUCAGCAGAGCUAUAGAACUGACCUGCAGCUGAUGGACACAGAAAUCUGCUGUUAACCACAGACAUCAUAAUCACAAGCUAACAAUGUCAAAAGAGUAUGCUGCCAAGACCUCUGCCAUGGGUAACAUCUAAAAACUCAACAAAGAAAAGCUCUGCAUUUUUUACAAAAUUGACUUAUCAGGUCACUGAGCAACUGAAAUAUUUCCAAAGAAACAACUUAAAACUACUACAUUUUAGAGUUAUUUCAGCUCCAAUAUGGCUCAGCGUGGCACUGGUGAAGAGAGCUUGAUCAACCUGUGAGGAAACUCAGACACGGAGGUGUGGCCGAGCAUCUCCUCAGAGAGAGAGAGAGUCCCAACUGGCUUAGCCAUUCAACAGGGACUAGUUUCAUCCCUAUAGAUCCAAGUGCAUUCCUUAUUUAAUAAACCAGUGAUUGCAGAAUGAGACUUCUGACUGUCCAGUUUGACUGAAUUCAUGGAGCAUCUUAGAAUGGAGAUCAAACAUCUGCAGAGGAACAGAAUGUGAAGAACAUCUCACGAUAUUCACAAAUAGAUUAUCACUAAUCAUCUUUAAAGUAGAGCAGUGUGUUGACAGAUUAAGUCUACGUUUACUGCUAUUCCUCCAGCUCUUUAUUUAAGAAAGCAGCUUGCUCACAGUAAUUAGUUUGCCACGGGAAGGAUGAGUGGAAUCUGUCUGGAAGUGGAACACUGGAUUGAGACUGAAAAACCCCAUGUUUUUGGCCAUGCUCUGUUCUUUACUGUCUGAAUCAAUGAUGUUGAUCAGAUGACAUAAUCUUGUUUAUACCUCAGGACCUCAUCGGAAAAUGAAGAGGUGGGUGGGGGCAGGUGAAUUUUAGUCGAUUUAGAGUUAAUCUUUUCGGCUUCUAACAUACCAUGCUUCCAGUUUUCUUUUCUUUUCUUUUCUUUUUUUUUCCUGUAACUUGAGAAUAAAGGAUGGCCAUAUGCAUAUUGUAGCUGUUACCUUGACUUCCUCUUUCUCAAGCAGAAAGUUAAAUAUAUACCUAUUAGUUUAUAAUCUUUAUUUUAACCUUUA
rnacentral:lncRNA from 1 species